UACGUAGGCGGAAUAUUAAGUCAGUGGUGAAAUCCUGCGGCUCAACCGUAGAACUGCCAUUGAUACUGAUAUUCUUGAAUAUAGUUGAGGUAGGCGGAAUGUGUAAUGUAGCGGUGAAAUGCUUAGAUAUUACACAGAACACCGAUUGCGAAGGCAGCUUACUAAACUAUUAUUGACGCUGAUGUACGAAAGCGUGGGGAGCGAACAGGAUUAGAUACCCUGGUAUUCC
rnacentral:rRNA from 1 species